CCUACGGGUGGCAGCAGUGGGGAAUAUUGCACAAUGGGGGAAACCCUGAUGCAGCAACGCCGCGUGGGUGAAGAAGUACUUCGGUAUGUAAAGCUCUUUCAGCAGGGAGGAAAAUGACGGUACCUGACCAAGAAGCCCCGGCUAACUACGUGCCAGCAGCCGCGGUAAUACGUAGGGGGCAAGCGUUAUCCGGAUUUACUGGGUGUAAAGGGAGCGUAGACGGCAGGGCAAGUCUGGAGUGAAAGCCCGGGGCUCAACCCCGGGACUGCUUUGGAAACUGUGUUGCUGGAGUGCAGGAGGGGUAAGCGGAAUUCCUAGUGUAGCGGUGAAAGGCGUAGAUAUUAGGAGGAACACCGGUGGCGAAGGCGGCUUACUGGACUGUAACUGACGUUGAGGCUCGAAGGCGUGGGGAGCAAACAGGAUUAGAUACCCCAGUAGUC
rnacentral:rRNA from 1 species